rnacentral:rRNA from 1 species
AGGAUUAACGCUGGCGGCGUGCCUAACACAUGCAAGUCGAACGAGGUAGCAAUACCUAGUGGCAGACGGGUGAGUAGCGCGUGGUCAACCUACCGUUGAGUGGGGGAUAACUAGCCGAAAGGUUAGCUAAUACCGCAUACGUCUCCGAGGGGCAUCCCUUGGCGAUAAAAGGAGCAAUCCGCUCGAUGACGGGACCGCGUCCCAUUAGCUAGUUGGUGGGGUAACGGCCUACCAAGGCAUCGAUGGGUAGCUGGUUUGAGAGAGCGACCAGCCACACUGGGACUGAGAUACGGCCCAGACUCCUACGGGAGGCAGCAGUGAGGAAUUUUCCGCAAUGGGCGAAAGCCUGACGGAGCGACGCCGCGUGUGGGAAGAAGGCCUUCGGGUCGUAAACCACUGUCGAAGGGGAAGAUAAUGACGGUACCCUUGGAGGAAGCCCCGGCUAACUACGUGCCAGCAGCCGC